CGGGAGUAACACCUGGAAACAGAUGCUAAUACCGGAUAACAACAGAUGAUGCCUAUCAACUGUUUAAAAGAUGGUUCUGCUAUCACUCUUGGAUGGACCCGCGGUGCAUUAGCUAGUUGGUAGGGUAACAGCCUACCAAGGCGAUGAUGCAUAGCCGAGUUGAGAGACUGAUCGGCCACAUUGGGACUGAGACACGGCCCAAACUCCUACGGGAGGCAGCAGCC
rnacentral:rRNA from 1 species